rnacentral:rRNA from 1 species
GAUGAACGCUGGCGGCGUGCCUAAUACAUGCAAGUCGAGCGAACGGACGAGAAGCUUGCUUUUCUGAUGUUAGCGGCGGACGGGUGAGUAACACGUGGAUAACCUACCUAUAAGACUGGGAUAACCUCGGGAAACCGGAGCUAAUACCGGAUAAUAUUUUGAACCGCAUGGUUCAAAAGUGAAAGACGGUCUUGCUGUCACUUAUAGAUGGAUCCGCGCUGCAUUAGCUAGUUGGUAAGGUAACGGCUUACCAAGGCAACGAUGCAUAGCCGACCUGAGAGGGUGAUCGGCCACACUGGAACUGAGACACGGUCCAGACUCCUACGGGAGGCAGCAGUAGGGAAUCUUCCGCAAUGGGCGAAAGCCUGACGGAGCAACGCCGCGUGAGUGAUGAAGGUCUUCGGAGCGUAAAACUCUGUGAUUAGGGAAGAACAUAUGUGUAAGUAACUGUGCACAUCUUGACGGUACCUAAUCAGAAAGCCACGGCUAACUACGUG